UUUUAUUGCUAUUAUAUUUUUCGGUUUUCUUUGCAACAUUAGUGCUCAUCGCCUGUUUCCGGCAGCUCACCUGCUUUGAGCAAUGCCAGUGCGUACACAACGUUUUCCCUUUCGACUGGAUGUUUGGUGGACAACGUGGACAACUACUGGAGCGCAUUGGUAACCGCCGCGUUUGUUUGUUUUGAAUUAGUGAAAAUUUCAAGUACUUAGUACUUGCGCGAGUGUUGUUAUUCUAAUACAAAUCAUCACCCGAAUUUGGCACCUCCAAGUCAAUCAGUCAGCGUUUCCUAAACUGAGAUAUCCAGAAUAAAAUGACAUCGAACAAUUAUGCAAAACCGGGUAAAGCCGCGAACGAAUGUUUGUCCCAAUAACGUACCAGCUGGAACAUUUAACUGGCUUGUUUAAUAUAUUCACGGCUUAUCCCGGCACACUGUGAGCGACUUUGCAUACAAUUGCAACUGCAAUUAAUUCUAAUUAACAGCGUAUGACGACGGGUAUGCCAGUGACUAGACUCUGACGUCACGACGCGAUGGUUUGGUUCAAACGUUGUAGGAAUCGGAGAGACAUUGUCCGCUGAGACCCGGCCCUGCUCGGCGUACCUGCAUAGUGGUAAUUUUCAGUGCACAAUUAUUAUCAAUGGAUUCCCGUUUACGUUCCCGAUGUGCAUGAUUUGCGUGCGACAGGAGCGAACUGACGCCCUUUCUGCAUUACAUUAGGUCAUUCGGUUCUACUGGAUAAAUCGGAAUCUGAGUCUUCUUCGCUGCCCGCUCGAGUAGUGUUCGUGCGCACUGAUGACGGUGAUAGUAUCGGUGAUUUGAGAAGGGAGAUGGUCAGCGAUAAUUGCGAUGAGGACGUUGUUGAUGGCAACGAUGAUGUUGGCACUAACUGCCAUGGCGGAUUCCACCAGUGUCGCUCGACUAAUGAUCAAGCAACGACGAGGACCGGAUUAUGAUGCUCGACGAGUGGUCAGCGGUGCAAGCGAAAUGGAAAUGCAAAAGACACAUUCUAUGAGAAGGAGGGCAGGCCGAAGAAGGACAGCACCACGAACACCAAUUUUGGGACGAAUCCAUCUCUUAUUUAACUUACCAAAACGGUUCAUUCACAUUCGCAUACGCUUCAUGACAAACGACUAAACAGAUCUCAUAUUUUCAAUUCUUUCCGAUCGAACCCGCUGAAGCGAACUCGAUUCAUCACCAAGCUGGAGCGUUCGCAGCGCAUUCGGGGUGGCUUACGGAGUACGCGAUCGAGAGGUUACUCUCCAAUCAUACUGUUAUGUCCACUAAGGUGCAAUCGGAGUACAUUUCGAUACAUGCUGCCGUUCUCGGCCGAAGACAUUGCUUCCAGGUGCGUGGUGGUCCUUGCAGUGAGCGGUACUACAGCUGCGGAUUUCGACAGGAAUGGGAUCUGAUCUUUGGAUAUACAGCACUCAACGCUGAAAAUACCAGGCAAAUGGACAACGCACUCAAAUUGUGGAUGUAUGAAGCCCUGGCACCAAUAACCCCUACAUGAAAAUUUUCACUCCGAUCGGUUCAUUAGUGUUCGAUACUAUAAGGAACAUAGGGCAGACAGAUAUCCAUUUUUAUAGGCAUAGCUAUGUAUGGGAGCCCCACCCCCUUCUUCGUGGGGGGAGGGGUAUUUUGCCAUCGAGAGAAUCUUCCCUGGCCCUAAAAACCCCUACAUGCAAAUUUUCACGCCGAUCGGUUCAGUAGUUUUCGUUUCUAUAAGGAACUUAGGGACAGACAGACAGAAAUCCAUUUUUAUAGGUAUAGAUUAUUAAAUAUUAAAUAA